AGUGAACGCUGGCGGUGGGCCUAAUACAUGCAAGUAGAACGCCGGCACAGGAAGAGCUUUCUCCUACGAGUGGUGAGUAACGGACGGGUGAGGAGUACAUCGGCAGCUAUGUUUUCGUGGGUGAUAACGUAGGGCAAUAGCCGCUAAUACAUCAUACUGCAUGCGGGUGAAAGUAUAUGUUCUUGGGACCUUGCCCGAACUAAUAGACCGACCUCGGUUGUAUUAGUUGGCGGGGGAGGGAAAGGCCCACCCAACCGACGAUACAUGGCCUACCUGAAAGGGUGAUCGGCCACACUGGGACUGGGACACGGCCCAGACUCCUACGGGGGGCAGCAGUAGGGAAUCUUCGGCAAUGGGGGCAACCCUGACCGAGCAACGCCGCGUGAGUGGAGGAGGUUUUCGGAUCGUAAAGCUCUGUUGUAAGUCAAGAACGGGUGUGAGAGUGGAAAGUUCACGCUGUGACGGUAGCUUACCAGAAAGGGACGGCUAACUACGUG
rnacentral:rRNA from 1 species